rnacentral:lncRNA from 1 species
UUUACGUUUGUUCAAUAGUUUUUGCAUAAAGAUCAAGGGUAAAUUAUAGGAACAUUUUUUUAACCAGGAGGUGUCGAUUUUGGACUUUUUGGCGUCAUCAGGUCCCUCUUUGUGUUUUUGUUUGUGUGUUACUGUGUGUUACUUACUCAUAACCUAAAUUCGAUCAUGACCACUAGAUGGCAUCAUGUAUUUUUAUGUUUUGUUUUUAUACCAGCCGAUAGAGGGUUGAGGCGGAGGCAGGGAGACUCACGAAGAAAAGCAAAGUUCCCACUUCCUUCUUAUACGCCAAGCUGAGAGGGCAGCUUAGAAGGAGCUUUGAAUUAUCAAAGCUCCCUCUUAUUCGAAGCAAACCUCCAACAAUAAACCGGCUAGCUAUCCGAGAUAGCUGCUAUCCCUUGCGAAAAUUGUUAGUAGAAAUAUAUAUUUUUAGAACUUCCUAUUUAUUAUUAUAUCUAUUUAAUUCUAAUCUCAUAUCCCUUCUUGGUGUCAUCCACAACACCACAUAACUAAAUCAUCCAAGAUUUGAAGGGAAGGACAUACUUUGGAUAGGGUUUGCGCCAAUUUGUUGUGGGUUGGCUUUCGGAAAACAGAUUCGCUUUUGAAACACUUUUUAUCAGAUUUCCCCCUUCUGAAAACCACCAAUUCCGUCCGUCUCCGGAAUCCGUUGGAUGGAUAGUAAACCUUUUUUUUUUGUGUAAAACUCCUCCUCUUAGCGCUUCUACCGACAGCACGACCGGAAUUCAAAUUUGUUCGAUCUCGCACGGAAACCACAACAUACAGACAAUAAAUGUGCAUUGGUUUUUUAAACGUUGUCCUUGGGAGUUGUGGUAUUACCGUAGAAACUUCAGUAGAAACUUCAACUUAAGUUUCUACGGUAAUAUUAAUUAACAGCUCCUAAUUUUGAAUAGGAGCUGCUGGCGCCAGAUUGUUAUCGAGGACUUAGAGAAAAAGUGAGGAACACAAAAAGAAAGUAUUUGAUGAGAGGGGAUUAGGGGGAAUGUUUUUUCUUGAAAUUGUGAAAUGUCAUUCUAGCUUCUGACGUUUUGAUCCAGUUGGCUCCGCGCCCUCCUCGCUCAGUCUUUUGACCUGGCGGCCUUCAUCCUCUAAAAUUCCAAUAGAUAAAAAUUAGUUUUUUAACAAUUAUUAUUUAAAUGGAAAAUUUACCUUCAAGCAAAUUAACGUCUUCAUCCAUUGUCAGAUCUAUCGUUGACGCUGAAAAGCAAAAAAAAAAAAACAUUUUAUGUAUUAAAAAUUUUUAAACUAAUCAUUUUUGAAUUUCUUACCAGCAAAAGAUCUUUCCAGCUCGGCUAUGCUAUCAUCAUCAUUUACCUCCUCAGCAACAACAUCGUCACGUGGAAUCCACUUCCACUCUCCCCACUCUUCUCCAUUUCAUCGUUUUCAUCUGUAAAGGCUACCCUCAUCAUUCUUACCUGAUGAAUUUUCAGCAGGUUCUUCGCCUGAAUCAUCACUACCACUCUCCCCAGUCUCCUCCAUUUCCUCGUUUUCAUCUGUAAAGGUAUGAAUUAGUUUUUUAAAUUAAAGCUAUAACAAUUUUAGUUACCAAUGCUGUCUAAGUAUUCCAAAUCAAUAAGUUGGGGUUGAUCUACCUCGUAGUCCAUAUGAUCUCCAUCGUCUCCAGGGUAGUCAUAGUUCAAAAUUUGCGCGAAUACCUGUUUCCGAUUCAUCCACGGUUCUGUGUCUGGUGACAGUUAAAAAAUAAGAACCUGGCAAC